GACGAACGCUGGCGGCGUGCUUAACACAUGCAAGUCGAACGAAGAGCGAUGGAAGCUUGCUUCUAUCAAUCUUAGUGGCGAACGGGUGAGUAACGCGUAAUCAACCUGCCCUUCAGAGGGGGACAACAGUUGGAAACGACUGCUAAUACCGCAUACGAUCUAAUCUCGGCAUCGAGGAUGGAUGAAAGGUGGCCUCUACAUGUAAGCUAUCACUGAAGGAGGGGAUUGCGUCUGAUUAGCUAGUUGGAGGGGUAACGGCCCACCAAGGCGAUGAUCAGUAGCCGGUCUGAGAGGAUGAACGGCCACAUUGGGACUGAGACACGGCCCAGACUCCUACGGGAGGCAGCAGUGGGGAAUCUUCCGCAAUGGACGAAAGUCUGACGGAGCAGCGCCGCGUGAGUGAUGACGGCCUUCGGGUUGUAAAGCUCUGUUAAUCGGGACGAAAGGCCUUCUUGCGAAUAGUGAGAAGGAUUGACGGUACCGGAAUAGAAAGCCACGGCUAACUACGUG
rnacentral:rRNA from 1 species